CCCUUAGAUGUUCUGGGCCGCACGCGCGCUACACUGAUGCAUUCAACGAGUUUCUUCCUGGUCCGAGAGGAAUGGGUAACCUUUUGAAAGUGCAUCGUGAUAGGGAGAGACUAUUGCAAUUAUUGGUCUUCAACGAGGAAUUCCUAGUAGACGUAGUUCAUCAGACUGCAUCGAUUACGUCCCUGCCCUUUGUACACACCGCCCGUCGCUCCUACCGAUUGAAUGCUCAGGUGAGCCAUUCGGACUUUCAUCAUGCUGGUUUCCAGUUUUGAUGAAGGAAAGUCUUGCGAACCUUAUCAUUUAGAGGAAGGAGAAGUCGUAACA
rnacentral:rRNA from 1 species